UACGAAGGGGGGCAAGCGUUGUCCGGAAUCACUGGGCGUAAAGGGCGCGUAGGUGGUGGCUUAAGCGUGCGGUGAAAGCUCGGGGCUCAACUCCGAGUCGGCCGUGCGAACUGGGCUCACUGGAGCAUAGUAGAGGCAGGUGGAAUUCCGGGUGUAGCGGUGGAAUGCGUAGAGAUCCGGAAGAACACCGGUGGCGAAGGCGGCCUGCUGGGCUAUGGCUGACACUGAGGCGCGACAGCGUGGGGAGCAAACAGGG
rnacentral:rRNA from 1 species